rnacentral:rRNA from 1 species
GUCUCUGGCCAUGCCACCUUGAACAAGAUCGAUGUCUGAUCUCGGAAGCUAAGCAGGGUAGGGCUUGGCUAGUACUUAGACGGGAGACCACCUAGAAAGACCAGGUGCUAUAGGCA